rnacentral:lncRNA from 1 species
UGGUUGAUUUGCAGUAUUUUUUUGCUUUUAAUUUUGUGAAAUACUGAUAUGUGAUAUAUUAUGAAUGCACGAAAUAUCAACUUCUCAUAUUGCUGAGCUAUUAAAUCUCUACCCAGCAACCCGGAAAGUAUUAACAACAUCAACUUCACAAGUAAGUUGGUAAAUUGAUUUCAAGUGAAUUUUUGGCUUAACUUUGGUAAUAUUCAGCCUGAUAAAGUCUAUCUUUAAUAUUAUAGAGCAAAAACAUUUUAGAGAUUAAAGUACUAUUAGCAUAUUGAAUAUACAGAUGCUAAUACACAUAAUGUUUUAGUUAGAUUAAGGAAAAUCAGGUAUUUUUAGGCAGACUUCACAUUAACUUUAUACUUCUUAUAAGUCUCAUUGCAGUUUCUUUUUUUCAUAUCCUUAGAAUUUCUGAAGAAUUAAAAAAGUAAAUAUAUAUUCCAUGACUUGAGUUCGCUGUAAUAAAGAAUGCUCUAUGUUAAGGUUAUAUUUCUUGGAGAAAUAGUUAUUCGCCAUGCUGAGAAUCCUUGUCUCUGGCUACCCUAGUUUUCAAUAUGGCUGAGUGCUAAACCCACUACCCCAGGGGCAAUUGUUAUAAUAGAUAUGGUAAGUGGACAUGACUUUUCCAAAGUUUCUAGAGAGGAUAGUGUUUGUUCUCCUUUGGGCUAAAGAUUUAAUUUGUUUCUUUGUUUUGCACUAACUUCAUGGAUCUACAACCUGGAGUAGAAAGGAGAAAAAGGGAUUGCACUCAGCGAAAUGGACAAAUACACCAGAAUAAGAAAUCCUAUUAAAGUGUUGGAUAUAUUCCCCAAGGCAGGAAAUACUAUAAUUAUUGUAAUACACUACUUCCUUCAUAUUGCUGUGAAGUAUAAAACACAGCAACUUACCUACCUUUAAUUAGCUGUAUUUAGUAAUUUUUAUGGCCACUGAACAUGGUACUCAGAUUACCAUAUAUUAGCAUAUAAUUUGCAUACACACCUCAAGGUACUUGGUUUUAUUGCUAUUACCUUUUGAGGCCCUGUUUCAGUAAUGACGCUAAUGGAAUAUAAAAAAGAGAUUUCUGACUCAAUUCACUUUUACGAUCUUGGGAAUUUUACAAUGGAAAGUUCCAUGUUUAAUAUAAAAUUCCUCAAAAAAAUUUCUGUGCCUUAUUAAAGUGGUCAGUCAGUGACCCAUGUACUUAUCUGGCAAAUCCCUGAUAGGUGCCCCAGGGAAAGCAUUUACUUUCACUCUGAGCUCAAUAAAGAUAUAUUUUAUAAGGCUUAGGGUAUAAACAGCUUCAUGUUUUGCUAAAAGAAAGUUGCACAUAUAAUUUAAUGAAUCUUUACCAGCCUAUCAGCAGCUAAAGGCCUAGAGAAAGAAAAAUAACAGCUGUGGCAAGAGAAUUUGGAGAAAGGUCAGAGGUCAGUGCCUGCAUCUGCAUUCAGUGGGAGACAAGAGAGGAAAAAUAAAGGGUCUCUCUUUGUUGCAAGUCAGCACUAUUUUAGAAAGUGCAGAUACUGACUUAAUUACCAAUGUUCCCUUCUGCUCUCGGGUGCAGUGGCGGGCUAUAAAUCAAUACCUAAGGUCACAUUGCUAAAAGCAUGAAAAAAAAAAAAGUCUUUCUUGCACUUGGGAGCAUUGUUUUGUGCUUCUUCCUUGGCGUUACUAGUGUUCGAUCCAGAUAGAAUCAGGGGGUGGGAGCCAUCACAGAGGGCAUUAGAAUUAUGAAAGCUGAUGUGAAAAGUAGGCCUUUUGAACUCCUGGCAACCCGUGAACUGUGUCAAAUCUCUCAUCAUUACUUGAUUGUUUAUUGUUGACUUGUUUGCUUUUAAUUCCCUGGGCCCAAUCCUUAAGCCUAACUGCAUAAGAAAAGUUUACUGUGAAUUACAUGCCAAUUUGAAAGGAAAGCUACCUUUUUUUUCUUUUUCAGUUGAAAAAUAAUUUCAACAUAAUGUGUUUGGGACUACGGAUACAUUUUGGAUCAUCUUUCUGUCAACAUGCUAGGAAAAUUCCUACAUCAAAUUUUUCAAGUAGGAGAAUAUUGUUCUGUUUUCUUUAAAAAAUGGAUGCUAGUCCUUUCAAUGACAACUAUCUUUGCUAAGCUAGAGAGAUGACGAUACCUGGAAGGUAAAGGAGGACAUUUAUAAUAUGCAAAGUGAAAGAUAAUCAUUUCGUGGUAGGACUGUCUUAAAAUAACUCGCUUUGGUAGCCAAAAAGGAAUCCCUUCUCGAUUUAUUGCACCAAAGGGGACUCUAUUUGAGGAGCAGCUGAGAUUGGUUCCCAAGGCAGUUUGCCUGUAUUUGAGUUGGAUGACCACAUCGGAAUUUUCACCAUUAGGAUAAUUGAUGCUGCCAUCAUGGAUCAGACCAACCAUGCAGCAGAGUGAUUUGGUUGUUGAGACAAAAGAAAUAACUACAUUGAUUAUGCUGAGGAGUAUCUGUAAUGGUUUAAUUUUCUUUUUUUACGAUGUUUAUUUUUUCCAUUAUAGUUGGUUUACACAAUUAUUAUAAUGGUUUAAUUUUUAAUGUGUAUUAUAUGCCUUAGAGAGUUUUUAGAAGUAGGAAAGUUGCAAAUUAUGGAUAUAUGAAAAUAAUACCAAUAAUUCCUGUAAACCAUCCAUUUCUUUUUCUUUACAAUUAAAAAUCAUCCCCCCCCCCCAAAACUCUCUUUUCAGAGAUGUUUCAUUGGUCCAACUUUCUAUUUCAUUUGUACCAUCUAGACUGGUCCUUACAGAAGGGACAGCCUUCUAAAGAUCUCUGAAUUAAAGAAUUCCUCAACAUGUCUAAAUGUCAUCUGAUCAGUUUUUCACAGAAUCAUACAAUUUUGAGCAAGAAUCCCCCUGAGAAAUUAUCUGGUUGAGGCUCCUUCUUUAACUAGUGGGGAAAAAAAAAAUUAGAAAGACCAUCUCAUUUUGCUCUGAGGACUCAGCUGAAAAGAAUAACACAAUUCAGUAACUAACUUGUGUGUAGGAGAAUUUUCCAAUAAGAAGCCCUCCUCAAUGCCUUGCUGUAGGGCUGCAAGUAUUUACUUAUCUAAUUAUCUUUACAAAGGAGCCCACUGAUAAUGCAAAAUCUGCUACUUCUCCCAGAGUGGACAAAAGGAGAUUUAACAUAAAACAAAAUGAUAGUGUAGAGUAGAACUUGUAUUUUUCCAGACUUUGCUAUCAGAGAAAUAUAAAGUUGAAAGAAGAGUUUCAUUUGCUAUUCUCUCGUGAAAUGGGAGAUGGAUGUGAAAGGCUGUUCCUACGGUUGCCGCAGAGAGUUCUCCAGAAUGAACACACAUAUUAUUAUAACUGCUCAGAUUAUAAAACACAAGUCAUAAUUGAAGGUAGCGUCUACCCUAAAUACUGAGGGCAAUCUGCCCUGGCAUCCAGCUACCCAUCCUGCCUUCAGGGAUCCAUUGAGCAUAUGCACAUUCCAUCAGCCAGAGUCUGCCAGCAUCUAAUGUCUCUCUAGGGUUUCACCAUUACCCGAUUUGAAUGCUGAGAAGAUGCUCAUAAUUGCUUAUUAUGACAUUAGACAAGAGAAUUCAAGUCCCAUUUGAUUGUAAUGAGUUUGUGGAGUCCCUGCCUUUUGUGGGUCCAAUCACAUACAGAAUGGAACUUAAGGCUUCUAUAUUGAAACAGAAUUACACUCCAACAGUUGAGCAUGAGGCUUGGACCCUGUUCAGUUAAAUUUUUUUUCUAUUACCUUCCACAGCCUGUUGAUGGCAACAAAAAUAAUAUCAAUUAUAAAACCUCUUCAGCAGAGACACUCAGACUUCUUUCCAAACUGGAAUUAAUUUUCCCAGGUUUACCUCUUAAACAGUCCAGACUUACUGUCUCCACACUGGAGGUGAGCACAUUAAAUGGUAAAAACAGAUGAAAUGAUUUCUUUAGAAUGAUGUAUGGAGUAAAAUGGCAGGAUCGGUCAGCAUAAAACAAUAAAAAGAAAUAAAUAUGUACAUCGUGGGCCAGUAUGUACAUUGAAAACGCCUACUUAAAAUAAGGUGAAACGCCUCUGUAAUGAUUUCAGUAAGGAAUGUAUUUUAAGAAAUUACCAGUAAACAUCCUCUAUCCUAUUUUUACAAGAUGGAAAUCAAAGAAGGUCUAUUAGGAUAACACAGAACGUGCCUACAAUAAAAGGGGCAAAAAGAGUAACACAACUGAAUUUGAUUUCUAAGUGGAAAAGCUAGGGACCAUUUGAAAUGCUUGGGACUUCAUCCUUCUAUGCUUUAUAAAGCAUCAGUGCUUCCUGUUUACUCACAGUCGUAACCAGAUGGCUGAAGGAGAGGAACGACAAUGAAUUGGAUUCUAAUAGAAAGCACGCUGACACCCCAGGGCUUUCCACUCAAAGCUAAAGCUGAAAUUGUAAUGUGAAAGCACAAGGGGUAGGUGUCACAAGGAUGCAGCUGACAAUGCACAGGUGCCUUUAUGAUCUGAAACUAUGCAAGCAGAUAUAACUAAUUCCAUGCCCAAUAGAAGUGGGUUUGUUUUUUUUUUUUCUUCAUUAUAAAUUUAAAAAUGGCGUUGUGGCUGUUCUGAAAAUAGCACUGAAUUCCUUCAUCUAAAGUCGGCUCUGAGUUAUUAGAUCAAUAUCUGAUUGCCAGAGGAGAAAAGCUCUGUGUUGGGGUUCUCUUUUGGAGAGAACAAACAUUCUCAAAUGAAUAUGUGGUGUGUGUUUCUCUCUCUUUCCUACAAACUUUAGCAGGUCAUGUCACUCUUAAAGGGAGCAAUUUGGUGUAAAAGUACAAUAACUGGACCAGAAAUGUAAUAAAGUUCUAGUUUUUUAAUCUGUCACCAAUUAACUGGGUAGCCUUAGGCAAACUGUUUCAUCUCUUGAUUUGGUUUGAUUCAAAAAAUGUAGGAAGCACCCUUGCAUUCAAGUUCAGCAGAAUGUUUACUGAGACAUAGCUUUGGAAGGUUAGGUUGAAUCAACUGUGAAGUUUCUUAUCUGUUUUUUCCUUAUUUAAAAAAAAAAAAAUCAACAAGGAUUCAAACCAACCAGCAUAAGUACCGAGCAACAAUUAUUUGCCAGGCACUGAACUAAAAUGCUAGAAAUACAAAGAAUAAAUGGAGCUACCAGGUAGGAAUUCAAAAUCUGCUAAGGGAACUAGCCAUUACCCCACCCCCAACAAAUUACAUAGUACCUGCAAUACAGAUUUCACAAAGUUGUUUUGCAGACAAAGGGCCUCUAGUCUUUUCCAUUUAUCAGUCAUGAACUUUUACAAGUCUGUGAACAUCCUAAACCUCUGUUUUCUCACCACCACAAUAGAAAUAAUAGUAGUAUCUAGCUCUUACGGUUGCAUACAGCUUACAUGCUAUAUAAUUCAAAUAAUUAGCAGCAUGCCUGACAGAUACUAAGUACCAAAUAAAUGUUAAAUAAUAAUUAUUGUUACAAUCAAAGAGGUAUGUAAAAUGUAGACCUUUAAAAUAAUGUAAAGAGGAAAACACAGUAUCGUUUAAUAAUAGCAUAAAGGGAUUUAUAUAUUCUGUUAAUAUAAAUAAGAUAAUGAAAAUUGUUACGGGCUGAAUUGUGCUUCCCUAAAUGCAUAUAUUAAAGCCUUAACUCCUAGUGCUUUAGAAUGUGUCUGUAUGGAGAGACAGGACAUUUCAAGGGUAAUUAAGGUUACAUGAGAUCAUAUGGGUGGGGCCUAGUCCAGUCUGACCAGUGUCCCUAAACAGAGGCAGAGAUACCAGCAAUGUGAAUGCACAGUGAAAAGGCCAUGUGUGGACACAGCAAGCAGGUGGCCGUCUGCAGGCCAAGGAGAGAGGACUCAGGAGAAACCACAACUGCCAACACCCUGAGCGUAAACUUCCUACCUCCAGAACUGUGAGAAAAUAAACUUCUGUUGUUUAAGCCUUCCAGUCUAUGGUAUUUUGUCGUGGGGUCCUGAGAAAACUGUGCAAAAAUGAAAGCAUUUUAAAUAACAUAAAUAAACGCUCACUGAACAACCCAAAAAUAUAUAGGGGUAAGGGAUAAAAAAUGUUAUUAAGGGAUUAUACAAAAUUGUGUGUGAAACUUAAAAAUUGUAAAACACUGUAGAAUUUAAAGAAUCUUUCAAAAAAUAAGUAUAAAUGAGAAAAAAUAAAAAUAAUAAAAAGAUAUACACAUGUUGUCAAAUAUUAGCUUCUGAGCACAUGUACUUUUAAAAAUUAGCACGUGUAAAUAAAAAUAACAUUUGGACA